GCGAAUAAAGCUUAAUAGGUUUUGGAGCGUCAGAUUGUGAAUCUGAAGGUUGCGAGUUCAAAUCUCGUUAUUCGCCC
rnacentral:tRNA from 1 species